UCCCUUCCUCUCCCAACAACAGACAACCUUGUGAGCUUACAUCCUUUGGUGUCCUGGGAUGAAUGAUAUCAAGUACUGUCCUUCAGAAGACAUGGCUGCUGAUGCACUCACCAAGCCGCUGACCAGAGGAAAGAACCUGCACAACAGACAACCUUCAUAACUUAGGUGGCUGACAUGUGAAAAGGGGUGUUGGUAUAGCAAUUGUCAGUUCUUCAGUCAUGAAAGAGUUAAUGAUGUUAGUAAACAUUAGAUAAAUUAGCAUAGCAGUAGCACGCAGAACUUGAAGCAGUCUAGCAGGAGGUGCACCGGCAUGCGUGGCAGCCUGCGCCUGCGUGCAUUCGU